UACGUAGGGUGCAAGCGUUGUCCGGAAUUAUUGGGCGUAAAGAGCUCGUAGGCGGUUUGUUGCGUCGGCUGUGAAAUCCCGAGGCUCAACCUCGGGUCUGCAGUCGAUACGAGCAAACUAGAGUGUUGCAGGGGAGACUGGAAUUCCUGGUGUAGCGGUGAAAUGUGUAGAGAUCGGGAGGAACACCGGUGGCGAAGGCGGGUCUCUGGGCAAUUCCUGACGCUGAGGCGCGAAAGCGUGGGGAGCAAACGGG
rnacentral:rRNA from 1 species